GGAAGCACAUUCAAAGAUGUAGAUCCCCUCAGAGAAGUUUUCCAUUUCCCUGAAAUUAAAGAUCUUCAAAUGACUGCAAAUAACAUGAGGAUAUAUAGAAAAAUGCCCUUCCCCAAUUUCCAAAUCAUGAAAAUUUGGCUCAGCAGGUGUACACUUAAAGCGUUCUGGGAAUAUGAAUCCCUUCUGCACCCUGGAAUCACCAGUCCAGCCAUGCAUGGAGCUGGGGAAAGCAGGCCCUGAAUUGUCUAGAGAGACUUGGUGGAGGAGGCCACGGCCCGCCUUGUCCCUGCCGGGUCCCAGCCAGGAACAACUGGAUGUUGUAAAUGUUUCUCAUCUGGCCUUAAAAUCCAUGAAAGCUGGAAAAUCACAAGGCAUCUGUGCACAUACUGGUGGAUUUUAAUGAGAGUCCUGUGUUUGGAGCACCAGAAAUAAACCAGCUUCAGAAGCAAAGUGAGACUGGGCAUGAUUCAGAAAAGUUGGAAGAUCUAGAGAGGGAUCUUGCAAUCUGAAGUUUCUUGUUUAGUCACUGGAGGAUCUGAACGUCUAUGACACUCUUUCGAGCUGACACAGUGAAGAACAUGGAAGGAGAACUCACCCAGUCUGCCAGGGUCACAGAUGAUCAUACUCAAGAUCUUCCUGGGGAGUCAAUGGCAAAUUUCACUGGGCUAUUUUACAGAUGAAGAAGGAACAUAAAGAAGGUUCUGGGACCCU
rnacentral:lncRNA from 1 species